UGCUGAUUGAACAUUUCAAAA
rnacentral:piRNA from 1 species